rnacentral:rRNA from 1 species
GAUGAACGCUAGCGGCAGGCUUAAUACAUGCAAGUCGUAGGGCAGCAUGAAUGUAGCAAUACAUUUGAUGGCGACCGGCAAACGGGUGCGGAACACGUACACAACCUUCUUAUAAGUGGGGAAUAGCCCAGAGAAAUUUGGAUUAAUACCCCGUAACAUAAUGAUGUGGCAUCACAUUAUUAUUAUGGCUUCGGUGCUUAUUGAUGGGUGUGCGGCUGAUUAGAUAGUUGGCGGGGUAACGGCCCACCAAGUCUACGAUCAGUAGCUGAUGUGAGAGCAUGAUCAGCCACACGGGCACUGAGACACGGGCCCGACUCCUACGGGAGGCAGCAGUAAGGAAUAUUGGUCAAUGGACGCAAGUCUGAACCAGCCAUGCCGCGUGAAGGAUUAAGGUCCUCUGGAUUGUAAACUUCUUUUAUCUGGGACGAAAAAAGGCGAUUCUUCGUCACUUGACGGUACCAGAUGAAUAAGCACCGGCUAACUCCGUGCCAGCAGCCGCUGUAAAAC